GGUUACUGCUAUCGGUGUUCGCCUAAGCCAUGCGAGUCAUAUGUUCUUCGGAACAUGGCGUACUGCUCAGUAACACGUGGAUAACCUGCCCUUGGGUCCGGCAUAACCCCGGGAAACUGGGGAUAAUUCCGGAUAACGCACAUAUGCUGGUAUGCUUUAUGCGUCAAAUGGAUUCGUCCGCCCAAGGAUGGGUCUGCGGCCUAUCAGGUAGUAGUGGGUGUAAUGUACCUACUAGCCUACGACGGGUACGGGUUGUGAGAGCAAGAGCCCGGAGAUGGAUUCUGAGACAUGAAUCCAGGCCCUACGGGGCGCAGCAGGCGCGAAAACUUUACAAUGCGGGAAACCGUGAUAAGGGGUCACCGAGUGCCAGCAUCAUAUGUUGGCUGUCCGGGUGUGUAAAAUACACCUGUUAGCAAGGGCCGGGCAAGACCGGUGCCAGCCGCCGCGGUAACACCGGCGGCCCGAGUGGUGAUCGUGAUUAUUGGGUCUAAAGGGUCCGUAGCCGGUUUGGUCAGUCCUCCGGGAAAUCUGACGGCUUAACCGUUAGGCUUUCGGGGGAUACUGCCAGACUUGGAACCGGGAGAGGUAAGAGGUACUACAGGGGUAGGAGUGAAAUCUUGUAAUCCCUGUGGGACCACCUGUGGCGAAGGCGUCUUACCAGAACGGGUUCGACGGUGAGGGACGAAAGCUGGGGGCACGAACCGGAUUAGAUACCCGGGUAGUCCCAGCCGUAAACGAUGCUCGCUAGGUGUCAGGCAUGGCG
rnacentral:rRNA from 1 species